rnacentral:rRNA from 1 species
GGAAUUUUGGGCAAUGGGCGAAAGCCUGACCCAGCAACGCCGCGUGAAGGAUGAAAUCCCUCGGGAUGUAAACUUCGCAAGAACGGGAAGAAUAAGUAGGGGACAAUACCCCCUAUGAUGACGGUACCGUUUGUAAGCUCCGGCUAACUCCGUGCCAGCAGCCGCGGUAAUACGGGGGGAGCAAGCGUUGUUCGGAUUUACUGGGCGGAAAGGGCGCGUAGGCGGUCAGCACAAGUCGACUGUGAAAUCUCCGGGCUUAACCCGGAACGGUCAGCCGAUACUGCGGGGCUAGAGUGCAGAAGGGGCAACUGGAAUUCUCGGUGUAGCGGUGAAAUGCGUAGAUAUCGAGAGGAACACCUGCGGCGAAGGCGGGUUGCUGGGCUGACACUGACGCUGAGGCGCGAAAGCUAGGGGAGCGAA